UACGGAGGGGGCUAGCGUUGUUCGGAAUUACUGGGCGUAAAGCGCGCGUAGGCGGCUUUGUAAGUUAGAGGUGAAAGCCCGGGGCUCAACUCCGGAACUGCCUUUAAGACUGCAUCGCUUGAAUCCGGGAGAGGUGAGUGGAAUUCCGAGUGUAGAGGUGAAAUUCGUAGAUAUUCGGAAGAACACCAGUGGCGAAGGCGGCUCACUGGCCCGGUACUGACGCUGAGGUGCGAAAGCGUGGGGAGCAAACAGG
rnacentral:rRNA from 1 species